CGUACCUGGAAGUAAAUUAAUAUAAUACAUACAACAUGUUGAUGAACGUUACCUUGAUCCCGUUCAUACUCGGGAUUUUCGUAAACAUCUCACAAUAUUCGUAUUUUGAUCUGGAAUAUCUGUAUAUGUUGAACCAAACCAAGACAGAAUACGGAGAAAUUAUCAAUUCUACGGAAUUAACUUCUACAAUAAUAUGUCAACCCUUGGCAAAUGAAGAGCUUCGCUGUUAUUUGAAUGACGUCAUGAUCAUAACUUCAAACUAUACUAAUUUUAAUGAUAGAAUCACGACGAGUAAUCUAAUCGAAGUUGGACACUGAUUCGAUAUGAAAUUCGGUGAUCGUGGUGUAAUGUCUGUGAACACAGAACUCGGCUGGGGAGAUGGUCAAUAAGAAUCUUAUUAUAUAUGAUGUUAAUCAAUUCAACAUGGAUAUUGAUACAUCAGUUCAAACCUUACCAUUGGGGUUCCACUGAGACAGAAAGUACACCGAUAGGCUUUUGCACAAUUACAUACAAGAUGAAUAUGAAAUAUUGGAAGGAAGACGCAAAACAGGAAACAGGCUCGAAUUUUCAAAUUAAAUUGUUUAAGAAUUUUUCUAAUCAAAAGGAUAUAGCGUUAAAAGAUUUACAUAUUGUGAAGAAUAGGAAAGACUGCAAUUAUUCAAGACAUUUAAUGAUUAUUUAAAUGGCGGAAAAGUGACUAAAUAUGUUCAUACAAUAGAAGUGAUCGAUAACAAAUUAAGAAUGUUCACCACACUGGAUGGACAACGACCACUUAAUCCACAAAAUUCAUCAAAGAUCGUUUCAUCAAACCUCUACAUUUACUCAAAUAACGCAACUAAAUCUGAUUAAUGUUAGACCUAAAAAAACAAUAACAUUUAUUGAUGCUC